rnacentral:rRNA from 1 species
AGAUAGAGGAGUGCUCGAAAGAGAGCCGUAACACAGGUGCUGCAUGGCUGUCGUCAGCUCGUGUCGUGAGAUGUUGGGUUAAGUCCCGCAACGAGCGCAACCCUUGUCAUUAGUUGCUACAUUCAGUUGGGCACUCUAAUGAGACUGCCGGUGACAAACCGGAGGAAGGUGGGGAUGACGUCAAGUCCUCAUGGCCCUUAUAGGUGGGGCUACACACGUCAUACAAUGGAUGGUACAAAGGGUCGCCAACCCGCGAGGGGGAGCCAAUCCCAUAAAGCCAUUCGUAGUCCGGAUCGCAGUCUGCAACUCGACUGCGUGAAGUCGGAAUCGCUAGUAAUCGUGGAUCAGAAUGUCACGGUGAAUACGUUCCCGGGUCUU